rnacentral:lncRNA from 1 species
GUUUUAUAAUUUUUUGGAUUUUGCCCCCCCUAAAAUUCUGCUUUCAAGUCACAACUUCAAAGCUUCGCACACAACUCAAUUUGAAUCAAUAAUUCACCAAACAGAUAUCGAAAUGACCGUAAUCGAGUUAUCUUUCCACAUAAUCAAACCCCACUAAAUUUGGAGUUACAAAGAGAGAUUAAUUACCGUUUUAGUGAAGGUAUGUUCCCCAAAUAUUUUGCACAAAAUCUGCUUUCGAGUCACAACUUCAAAACUUCGCACAGAAUUCCAUUUGGAUCCAUAAUUCACCAAACUGGUACCGAAAUGACCGAAAUCGAGUUAUUUUUCCACAUAAUCAAACUCCACAAAAUUUGGAGUUACAGAGAGAGAUUAAUUAUCAUUUUAGUGAAGAUCUGUCCAAAUCAAUUAAUGUAUGGAACUACUACUGGUAUUUUUGUCAUGUCUCUCAUCCUGUAGCUCAUUUUGCAAUAGUAUUUACAUUUACGGAAAGCUAACGAAAUUACCCUUGUUGUCAUUUAAAUUUCGUCAAAUUUGGAGUUACGAAGUGUUUGGUAGACGAUGUUGAAUUUAAAGGUCAUAAGUAGAUUUCUGCAAAAUUAGUAAUUGGACAGACCUUCACUAAAACUGUAAUUAAUCUCUCUUUGUAACUCCAAAUUUAGUGGGGUUUAAUCCUGN